GAGAAGGAAAGUGAUGGAAGAAGGAAAAUGACAUUAUCAAGCAUGGGUGGAGGUGGUGACCAGGGUCUCCAGCUCACUCCCAUUUCCAAGCCAACAACCAUCCAACAACUCAGCUGCAACCGUAAACCCCCACUCCCUGCCCCGACAUCUAAGUGCUGAGCGCUAUCAGAAGUAAAGGGAAGUGGUCCCGGCUAUGAGGGACAGGGCCCUGAAAUGUGCGGUGGUUAAGACACCCCCACCAGCCUAAGGUGUGCCAGAGACCAUAAGUCUUCCCACUUGCGCCUUCUGAAAGUCGGUUCCAUCAUCCAGAAAAUGGGAGAACUGAGUUGAUUCUGAAUGCGAAUGUUUCAAAGUGCCCACCUGAGCCUGGGGCUAAGUACUACGGAGAGGAACAGCAUCACCCUGUAGAUCCGGGAGGGGACUGGGAAUGAUACUGGAGGCGGGGGUGGUAAUCAUCUUUAGAGGCCACACCUAUGGUUUUCUCCCGAGCCCCUAGCUUUAAGCUUCUCCCCGGUCCCUUGGCUGGAGCAUGCCCAGGUG